rnacentral:rRNA from 1 species
UCUACCACCGGGAUGUUCAUAACCCUUUGUUGUCCGACUCUGUUGCCUCCGGGGCGACCCUGCCUUCGGGCGGGGGCUCCGGGUGGACACUUCAAACUCUUGCGUAACUUUGCAGUCUGAGUAAACUUAAUUAAUAAAUUAAAACUUUUAACAACGGAUCUCUUGGUUCUGGCAUCGAUGAAGAACGCAGCGAAAUGCGAUAAGUAAUGUGAAUUGCAGAAUUCAGUGAAUCAUCGAAUCUUUGAACGCACAUUGCGCCCCCUGGUAUUCCGGGGGGCAUGCCUGUUCGAGCGUCAUUUCACCACUCAAGCCUCGCUUGGUAUUGGGCAUCGCGGUCCGCCGCGUGCCUCAAAUCGACCGGCUGGGUCUUCUGUCCCCUAAGCGUUGUGGAAACUAUUCGCUAAAGGGUGUUCGGGAGGCUACGCCGUAAAACAACCCCAUUUCUAAGGUUGACCUCGGAUCAGGUAGGGAUACCCGCUGAACUUAAGCAUAUCAAUA